rnacentral:rRNA from 1 species
CCUACGGGUGGCUGCAGUCGAGAAUCAUUCACAAUGGGGGAAACCCUGAUGGUGCGACGCCGCGUGGGGGAAUGAAGGUCUUCGGAUUGUAAACCCCUGUCAGUGGGGACGAAACUUGACGGUACCCACAGAGGAAGCACCGGCUAACUCCGUGCCAGCAGCCGCGGUAAUACGGGGGGUGCAAGCGUUGUCCGGAAUCAUUGGGCGUAAGGAGUUCGUAGGCGGCACGUAAAGUCUGGUGUUAAAGGCAGAGGCUCAACUUCUGUACGGCACUGGAUACUUGCGAGCUAGAAUGCGGUAGAGGUAAAGGGAAUUCCUGGUGUAGCGGUGAAAUGCUUAGAUAUCAGGAGGAACAUCGGUGGCGUAAGCGCUUUACUGGGCCGUAAUUGACGCUGAGGAACGAAAGCCAGGGUAGCAAAUGGGAUUAGAUACCCCAGUAGUC